GACGAACGCUGGCGGCGUGCUUAACACAUGCAAGUCGAACGAUGAAAGAUGAGCUUUCUCCUCUAUAAUAAUGGCGAACGGGUGAGUAACACGUGAGCAAUCUACCCCUGACUCCGGAAUAACUACGGGAAACUGUAGCUAAUACCGAAUAUACGCGAAACAGUCAUCUGUACCGGUGGAAAAGAAAUUCGGUCAGGAAUGAUGGCGCGGCCUAUCAGCUUGUUGGUGAGGUAGCGUCGCACCAAGGAGACGACGGGUAGCCGGAUUGAGAGGGUGACACGCCACAGUCGGCUAGAGGAAGCGCCAAGAGUGAUACGGGCGGAAGGAGCGGGGAAUAGUCGAAAAUGGGCGGCAGCAGUAUGCAGCAACGUCGCGUGAUGGAUGACGGUUAUUGGGUUGUAAACCUCUUUUAGCAGGGAAGAAGAGAAAGUGACGGUACCUGAAGAAAAAGCGACGGCUAACUACGUG
rnacentral:rRNA from 1 species